AUGUGCCGUCAGACACCAUCCUGCCUACCCAGUUGCUGCCUUGUAACCAGACUCAUAACAAGUCACUCCAUGCUCGACUCGACACCACUGGCCAUCUCUCUCGUUGCUGAGCCCUCUGGGUUCAAGUAUGAGUCUUAUUGGUUCACAGAGACAGCAGGGAAUGGCUCACAGUUGUUGUUCAAUGAAACUGGUAGAGUAUACUUCCUCCUAACAAAUGGCACCCAGAUCAACAUCACAUCAGGUGUGCUAGGAUCUAUGGCAGACUACUUCCACCGUGCUACACUUGACUCGGAUGGUGUUUUCCGGCAAUAUGUAUACCCAAAGAAUCCAAAGUCCAGUGUGUUCAGUGGUGAGAUGUGGAGUGCAGUGAGCUUACUUCCCCAAAAUAUCUGCCAUGCAGUAGUUACAGGUAUUGGCAGUGGCGUCUGUGGCUUCAAUAGUUACUGCACCUUCGAUGGCACCAAGAACCAGAUAUUAAGUUGUGCCUGCUCACCAGGGUACAAGUUCUUUGAUGAGGAGAGGAGGUACAAAGGAUGCCAACAAGAUUUUCAGCCGCAAAGCUGCGACUUGGAUGAGGCCGCAACACUGGCACAAUUUGAGCUGAGACCAAUUUCUGGUGUAGAUUGGCCGCUAUCUGAUUACGAGCAGUAUCAGCCCAUAGCAGAGGAUGACUGUGGGAGGCUGUGUCGGAUCGAUUGUUUCUGUGCCUUGGCCGUAUACAAUGAAAGCACACGCACAUGUUGGAAAAAGAAGCUCCCUUUGUCUAAUGGGAAUAUGGCCGACUAUGUCCAGAGAACGGUGCUUCUCAAGGUGCCAAGUAGCAAUAAUUCAGAGUCUGCACUCAGUACUGCCUCCAAAAAAUGGAAGCAGGACAAAAAGUAUUGGAUCCUUGGGAGUUCCUUGUUUCUUGGUUGUUCCAUAUUGGUGAACUUUCUCCUCAUCUCUAUUCUGGUGUUUGGUACUUACUGUCAUAUCACCCGAAAGAAGAAUGGUCCGCUGUCCCAAGCCUCAAGUACAACUCAGUUGCCCCUGAAGACCUUCACUUACAAAGAGCUGGAGAAAGCAACCAGUGGUUUCCAUGAGGUCCUCGGUAGUGGUGCCUCUGGUGUUGUGUACAAGGGUGAGUUACAAGAUGAUCUCCAGACCCACAUCGCUGUCAAGAAGAUCGACAAGCUCCAAGAAGAAACUGAAAAGGAUUUUACGGUAGAAGUCCAAACCAUUGGACAAAUGUUCCACAAGAAUCUGGUCCGACUACUUGGUUUCUGCAAUGAAGGAACUGAGAGACUGCUUGUUUAUGAGUUCAUGACCAAUGGCUCACUCAACCGGCUUCUCUUUAACGACGCCCGGCCAAAUUGGAACACACCGGUUCAUAUCGCACUUGGGGUGGCAAGAGGGUUGCUCUACUUGCAUGAAGAGUGUAGCACACAAAUCAUCCACCGUGACAUAAAGCCGCAUAACAUUCUUCUUGACGACAACCUUGUCGCAAAGAUUUCAGACUUUGGCCUAGCGAAGCUUCUCUUGAGAAAUCAGACAAGGACAAACACCGGUAUUAGAGGUACUCGAGGAUAUGUCGCCCCAGAGUGGUUCAAGAACAUCGGGAUCACUGCCAAGGUUGAUGUCUACAGCUUUGGAGUGAUCCUACUCGAGCUUGUCUGCUGCAGAAGAAAUGUUGAUUUGGAGGUAGUUGAUGAAGAGUAG
rnacentral:rRNA from 1 species